rnacentral:rRNA from 1 species
CGCGUAGGCGGCUCUGUAAGUCUGGAGUGAAAGUCCUCUUUUCAAGGGGGAAUUGCUUUGGAAACUAUAGAGCUUGAGUGCAGGAGAGGUUAUCGGAAUUCCCGGUGUAGCGGUGAAAUGCGUAGAUAUCGGGAGGAACAUCGGUGGCGAAGGCGGGUAACUGGACUGCAACUGACGCUGAGGCGCGAAAGUGUGGGGAGCAAACA